rnacentral:rRNA from 1 species
GAUGAACGCUAGCGACAGGCCUAACACAUGCAAGUCGAGGGGCAGCAUGAAAUUAGCUUGCUAAUUUUGAUGGCGACCGGCGCACGGGUGAGUAACACGUAUGCAACCUGCCUGUAAGCGGGGGAUAACCCAGAGAAAUCUGGACUAAUACCGCAUAAUAUCAUAGUUUCGCAUGUUACUAUGAUUAAAGAUUUAUUGCUUACAGAUGGGCAUGCGUCUGAUUAGCUAGUUGGCGGGGUAACGGCCCACCAAGGCUACGAUCAGUAGGGGUUCUGAGAGGAAGGUCCCCCACAUUGGAACUGAGACACGGUCCAA